rnacentral:rRNA from 1 species
GCUCAGUAACACGUAGUCAACCUGCCCUGGAGACCAGGAUAACCCCGGGAAACUGGGAUUAAUACUGGAUAGGUCAUCUCAUCUGGAAGGAGAGAUGGCUUAAAGGGGUGUGUGAGCUUCUUUCAUACAGCUGCUCCAGGAUGGGACUGCGACUGAUCAGGCUGUUGGCGGGGUAAUGGCCCACCAAACCAGUAACCAGUACGGGCCUUGAGAGAGGGGGCCCGGAGAUGGACACUGAGAGAAGGGUCCAGGUCCUACGGGGCGCAGCAGGCGCGAAACCUUCGCAAUGCGCGAAAGCGUGACGAGGUUAAUCCGAGUGGUUCCCGCUGAGGGAAUCUUUUGUCGGCUCUAAAAAGGCCGGCGAAUAAGGGGAGGGCAAGUCUGGUGUCAGCCGCCGCGGUAAUACCCGCUCCUCGAGUGGUCGGGGCGAUUAUUGGGCCUAAAGCAUCUGUAGCCGGUUCUGUAGGUCCUCUGUUAAAUCCAACGGCUUAACCGUUGGCUCGCAGAGGAUAUUGUAGGACUAGGAGGCGGGAGAGGCUGACGGUCCUCUACGUGUAGGGGUAAAAUCCUUUGA